CCAUGAUGGGGUUUAAACCAAAGACAUUACACUAGGUUAGCUGUUGACCAUGAUGGGGUUUAAACCAAAGACAUUACACUAGGUUAGCUAGCUGUUGACCAUGAUGGGGUUUAAACCAAAGACAUUACACUAGGUUAGCUAGCUGUUGACCAUGAUGGGGUUUAAACCAAAGACAUUACACUAGGUUAGCUGUUGACCAUGAUGGGGUUUAAACCAAAGACAUUACACUAGGUUAGCUGUUGACCAUGAUGGGGUUUAAACCAAAGACAUUACACUAGGUUAGCUGUUGACCAUGAUGG